rnacentral:rRNA from 1 species
UACGAAGGGGGCUAGCGUUGCUCGGAAUCACUGGGCGUAAAGGGUGCGUAGGCGGGUCUUAAGUCAGGGGUGAAAUCCUGGAGCUCAACUCCAGAACUGCCUUUGAUACUGGAGAGCUCGAGUCCGGAAGAGGUGAGUGGAACUGCGAGUGUAGAGGUGAAAUUCGUAGAUAUUCGCAAGAACACCAGUGGCGAAGGCGGCUCACUGGUCCGGUACUGACGCUGAGGUGCGAAAGCGUGGGGAGCAAACAGGG